rnacentral:rRNA from 1 species
UACGUAGGGUGCAAGCGUUGUCCGGAAUUAUUGGGCGUAAAGAGCUUGUAGGCGGUUGUCGCGUCUGCUGUGAAUUCGGGCUCAACCCGAACUUGCAGUGGGUACGGGCAGACUAGAGUGUGGUAGGGAGACUGGAAUUCCCGGUGUAGCGGUGAAAUGCGCAGAUAUCGGGAGGAACACCAGUAGCGAAGGCGGCUCGCUGGGCCAUUCCGUGACGCUGAGACGCGAA